GACGAACGCUGGCGGCGUGCCUAAUACAUGCAAGUAGAGCGCACAGUUUAUACCGUAGCUUGCUACACCAUAGACUGUGAGUUGCGAACGGGUGAGUAACGCGUAGGUAACCUGCCUGGUAGCGGGGGAUAACUAUUGGAAACGAUAGCUAAUACCGCAUAAUAUUGAUUAUUGCAUGAUAAUUAAUUGAAAGGUGCAAUUGCACCACUACCAGAUGGACCUGCGUUGUAUUAGCUAGUAGGUGAGGUAACGGCUCACCUAGGCGACGAUACAUAGCCGACCUGGGAGGGUGAUCGGCCACACUGGGACUGAGACACGGCCCAGACUCCUACGGGAGGCAGCAGUAGGGAAUCUUCGGCAAUGGACGAAAGUCUGACCGAGCAACGCCGCGUGAGUGAAGAAGGUUUUCGGAUCGUAAAGCUCUGUUGUAAGAGAAGAACGGGUGUGAGAGUGGAAAGUUCACACUGUGACGGUAUCUUACCAGAAAGGGACGGCUAACUACGUG
rnacentral:rRNA from 1 species